UACGAAGGGGGCUAGCGUUGUUCGGAAUCACUGGGCGUAAAGCGCACGCAGGCGGAUCGUUAAGUCAGGGGUGAAAUGCCGAGGCUCAACCUCGGAACUGCCUUUGAUACUGGCGAUCUUAGAGUCCGGGAGAGGUGAGUGGAACUCCGAGUGUAGAGGUGAAAUUCGUAGAUAUUCGGAAGAACACCAGUGGCGAAGGCGGCUCACUGGCCCGGUACUGACGCUCAGGUGCGAAAGCGUAGGGAGCAAACAGG
rnacentral:rRNA from 1 species